rnacentral:rRNA from 1 species
GUAGGUGGCAAGCGUUAGCCGGAUUUACUGGGUGUAAAGGGCGUGUAGGCGGGACUGUAAGUCAGAUGUGAAAUCCAUGGGCUCAACCUGGGGCUGGCAUUUGAAACUGUAGUUCUUGAGUACGGGAGAGGCUAGC